rnacentral:rRNA from 1 species
GAUCCCAUUCCGAACUCAGAAGUGAAACACAGUAUCGCCGAUGGUAGUGUGGGGUCUCCCCAUGCGAGAGUAGGUCAUUUCCAGGC